rnacentral:rRNA from 1 species
UACGUAGGUGGCAAGCGUUGUUCGGAAUUAUUGGGCGUAAAGGGCGCGUAGGCGGCAUGUUAAGUCGGCUGUGAAAGCCUGGGGCUCAACCCCAGAGGGUCGGCCGAUACUGGCAAUCUUGAGACUGGAAGAGGUUAGUGGAAUUCCCAGUGUAGAGGUGAAAUUCGUAGAUAUUGGGAAGAACACCAGUGGCGAAGGCGGCUAACUGGUCCAGUACUGACGCUGAGGUGCGAAAGCGUGGGGAGCAAACAGG